rnacentral:rRNA from 1 species
AGUGCGCUCGGCCACCAUGCGACGACGGGUAGCUGGCGUGAGAGCGUGGCCAGCCACACUGGGACUGAGACACGGCCCAGACUCCUACGGGAGGCAGCAGUGGGGAAUCUUGCGCAAUGGGCGAAAGCCUGACGCAGCGACGCCGCGUGGGGGAUGAAGGCCCUCGGGUUGUAAACCCCUUUCGGCAGGGAAGAAGCCGCAAGGUGACGGUACCUGCAGAAGAAGCCCCGGCUAACUACGUGCCAGCAGCCGCGGCCGA